rnacentral:rRNA from 1 species
CAUGGCUUUAUGAUAUAAUUUAUAUUAGGUCAAACCUGCCCAAUGAAAUUUUUAAAUGGCCGCAGUAAAUUGACUGUGCAAAGGUAGCAUAAUAAUUUGUCUUUUAAUUGGAGACUGGAAUGAAUGGUUUAACGUGAUGGAAGCUGUCUUUAUUUUCAUUUUUGAAAUUUACUUUUAAGUUAAAAGGCUUAUAAAUAAUAUUAAGGGACGAGAAGACCCCAUCAAGUUUAAUAAUUUAUUGAGUAAAAUUCAUUGAUUAUUUAUAAUAAAUUAUUUUUCUGGGGCGGAAAUAAUAAACUAUCUUUUAUUAAAAGAAAUAAUUUAUAUAUUUAUCAAUAAAACUUUUAUUAAAAAAGUAAAAUAAAAUUACUGUGGGGGUAACAGCGUUAUUCUUUUGGAAAGUUCAUAUUAAUAAAAGAGAUUACGACCUCGAUGUUGGAUUAAAUUUUCCCCAUAAUGAAGAAGUUAUGAAGGUAAGUCUGUUCGACUUAUUAAAAAUUACGUGAU